rnacentral:rRNA from 1 species
AGUGAACGCUGGCGGUAGGCCUAACACAUGCAAGUCGAACGGCAGCACAGUAAGAGCUUGCUCUUACGGGUGGCGAGUGGCGGACGGGUGAGGAAUACAUCGGAAUCUACUUUUUCGUGGGGGAUAACGUAGGGAAACUUACGCUAAUACCGCAUACGACCUACGGGUGAAAGCAGGGGAUCUUCGGACCUUGCGCGAUUGAAUGAGCCGAUGUCGGAUUAGCUAGUUGGCGGGGUAAAGGCCCACCAAGGCGACGAUCCGUAGCUGGUCUGAGAGGAUGAUCAGCCACACUGGAACUGAGACACGGUCCAGACUCCUACGGGAGGCAGCAGUGGGGAAUAUUGGACAAUGGGCGCAAGCCUGGUCCAGCCAUACCGCGUGUGUGAAGAAGGCCUUCGGGUUGUAAAGCCCUUUUGUUGGGAAAGAAAAGCAUCAGGUUAAUACCCCGCUGUUCUGACGGUACCCAAAGAAUAAGCACCGGCUAACUUCGUG